rnacentral:rRNA from 1 species
UACGGAGGAUGCAAGCGUUAUCCGGAUUCAUUGGGUCUAAAGGGUGCGUAGGCGGAAUAAUAAGUCAGUGGUGAAAUCCUACAGCUUAACUGUAGAACUGCCAUUGAUACUGUUGUUCUUGAGUGCAGUUGAAGUGGAUGGAAUGUGUCAUGUAGCGGUGAAAUGCUUAGAUAUGACACAGAACACCGAUAGCGAAGGCAGUUCACUAAACUGUAACUGACGCUGAGGCACGAAAGCGUGGGGAUCAAACAGGAUUAGAUACCCUGGUAGUCCACGCCGUAAACGAUGAUAACUCGAUGUGUGCGAUAUACAGCACGCGUCCAAGCGAAAGUGUUAAGUUAUCCACCUGGGAAGUACGUCCGCAAGGAUGAA